rnacentral:rRNA from 1 species
CCUACGGGAGGCAGCAGUGGGGAAUAUUGCGCAAUGGGCGAAAGUCUGACGCAGCGACGCCGCGUGAGGGAUGAAGGUUUUCGGAUCGUAAACCUCUGUCAGCAGGGAAGAACGGUCAUUGUGCUAAUCAGCCGUGAAUUGACGGUACCUGCAAAGGAAGCACCGGCUAACUCCGUGCCAGCAGCCGCGGUAAUACGGAGGGCGCGAGCGUUAAUCGGAAUUACUGGGCGUAAAGCGCUCGUAGGCGGUAUUGCAAGUUAAGGGUGAAAUCCCCGGGCUCAACGUGGGAACUGCCUUUGAAACUGGGAAACUGGAGUGUGUGAGAGGAUAGUGGAAUUCCAGGUGUAGGAGUGAAAUCCGUAGAUAUCUGGAGGAACAUCAGUGGCGAAGGCGACUAUCUGGCACAUAACUGACGCUGAGGAGCGAAAGCGUGGGUAGCAAACAGGAUUAGAUACCCUAGUAGUC